AUUAACAAUGCCUUGCCAAUAAGUCUUUAUAAUAUAAAAUAUUCUUAAAAUGCAGGUGAUGCAAAUAUCAUGGAGGCGAGGAAAGACUUCAAGGUUAAGGAGCAGAUGAUUAGUAGGGGAGCAGCUUGCUAGACUUCCACAUGCAGGAGCGUGCAUGUUUGAUUGCAUUGUUGUGCCUUCCAGGAGUGGCAGCAUGAGAGGACAGGACACAGAAGGAGAUAAGUAGUAAAACUCUCAGAUGUUAGGGUACUGCAGGUGUGUGAGCAAAGAGGGAGAGCGGAGGUUGCAGGCAGCAGCAUGAAAAGGGCGAGGACAACAAUGCAUGAAUUGCACAUGAACAACAACUAAAAAAUCUAUUUUCCCAGCUCUAAUUAUGAGCACUCAUCACUUUAUUUGAAGAAGUGUGUAAGGAUCUUUAACAAAGGCAUUCUCAACUGAAAAUGUUAGUCACCUAAAUAGGUUUUAUCAACAAAUGAAGGAGUUUUAAACAGUCUGAUAAAAAUCCAUUCCCCUCUGAGCUCAACUUUCACUUUGUAAUCUCUUGUGACAUCACCAUUACUAACUCCUCAAUCAUCAGAGUCUUUCAUCUUGAACAGAACCUGCUAAAGUAAAAACAAGCUGAUUUUCUUUUUAAAUAACUUCAGGUCUUUAUACAUCAUAAAGAAGCAAAAGGGGCAAUAGCCUGUGUUUUUCCUUUGCAGGCCAUCUUCAAAUGGAAAGGCUAGGGCACCUAGAGAUGUCUUCUUGCAAUGAAGAAACAUUUUGUCUUGGCUGAACAGAGCGAUGGAUGGGACCGAGUGAUGACAUUCACCAUUGCCCUGCACUUUGUGUGGUCACUCACACCAGCCCAAAGUGGGUGUAAAAAUUCCACAUACAGUGGAGUUGCAUCACGUAAGUUAAAUGUGCGUAUGAAUUCAACUAUACGUGCGCAAUGAGCGUAUGCCCCGGAGUGAGUGUGAGAUGGGAGACGUGAAUCUGCUGUUCCCUCAGUCGGUCUAAGUUUCUGCGUGACUCUCAUAGUGUGAGCAUCUUGCUGUGCUGAGUGUGAUUCUAGUGUUUAAAGAUAUGUAUUUUUCAUACAACAUGGCCCCUAAACACAAGCCAACUACUUCAUCUCAUGCUCAACCAAAGAAACAGCGAUCUGUUCCAACGCUGGAGGAAAAACUGGCUGUGUUGGACUUAUUGAGAGACGGUAUGUCGGUCUCCAACGUGGCGUGUAAAUAUGGCCGCAACAAAUCUAGCAUCUGUGCCAUCAAGAUUCGAGAGAGAGAAAUUCAUCAAGCUGUGGCAUCAAGUGCUCCAAUAACUGCUAAGGUGACGAGCCAGGUGCGUGAUAAGACUUUAGUGAAGACUGAAAAGGCAUUAAACUUACGGCUGGAAGACAUGAACCGUAAACAUGUGCCUAUCGAUGGCAACACGUUGCGAGAAAAGGCUCUUAGCCUCUACGUUCAAACCUCCCGCCGAAGAGGGACAGCCUUCUGAUGAGAAGGAAUUCAAAGCCAGAUGAGGUUGGCUUAACAGUUUUAGGAACCGCUUCAACCUCAAAAACGUGCAGACUACUGAUGAAGCUGCAUCUGCCGAUGGCGGCAGCAAAAGCCUACCCUGAACAAUUAAAGAAAAUCAUACAAGAAAAGGGCUAUCUUCUGGAACAAGCUUUUAAUGCUGACGAGACUGGGCUCUUCUGGAAAAAAAUGCCCAACUGCACUUACAUUUCAAAAUCAGAAAGACAAGCCCCUGGCUUUCAAAGCAGCUAAAGACCGUGUGACUGUGUUGUUUUGUGGCAAUGCGGCUGGGGAUUUAAUAAAGCCGGGCUUGCUCUACAAGCUGCAAAUCCCCGUGCCCUAAAAGGCAAGAACAAAAAAUCUCCUGCCUGUAUUCUGGCAAUCAAAUAGAAAGGCUUGGGUGAUGGCAGUAUUAUUUCUGGAUUGGUUCCACAAGUGUUUCAUUCUGGAGGUCAAGCGGUACCUCGAAGAGAAAGGACUUGACUUUAAAGUGUUGCUUAUCGUAGACAAUGCUCCUGGCCACCCUGAGGCACUCUGGUUUGCGCAUAAUGAUGUUGAGGUCAUCUUUCUCCCCCCCAAUAUCACCUCCAUCCUCCAACCUCUCGACCAAGGCGUGAUUCCCUGUUUCAAGGCCACGUACACGAGGCUUACGUUCUCACCGAUACGUAGCACUAUGGAUGCUGAUCCCAAUCUUAAUGUGAUGGAGUAUUGGAAGUCGUUCAACAUGCCGAUUGCAUCACUUAUAUUAAACAGGCAAUGGAUGCAAUCAAGCCUGAAACAGUCAAUGCAUGUUGGCGAAACCUAUGGAAAGAAUGUGUGAAUGAUUUUAAGGGUUUCCCAACCAUUGACAAAGACGUGAAAUGCAUUGUUCAGGUGGCCAGGCAAGUGGGUGGUGAUGGCUUCGUCGACAUCCUUGAGGAAGAAAUGGAAGAAUGAAUUGAGAGCCAUAGAGAAACAUUGACUAACGAAGAGUUAGAGGAACUGAUAAAAUUGUCUACAGAAGACGAAGAUGACGACGACGAACAGGAAGAGCCAGCAAGUUGGAAUCUUCAUAAAUUUGCUGAAGUGUUCCAAGCAGUGAAACACUUGAAUGAUUUAAUUUCUGAAUACGAUCCCUCUAUAGAACAAAGCCUCAAAAUCACACGUAGUAUUACGGACGAUUUGAGACCGUAUCAAGAAAUGUUUGAGCAGCUCAAGAGACCACAGCAACAGUUGCCGAUCAUAAUGUUUUUCCAGAAUAAACAACCAGCAGCAGAUGAGCCUGGCCCAUCGUCUCCUGGAUCGACAUCAAGACCUGACGACCCCCCAAUAGUGUCAUCAUUGUCAUAGACUAGCAGGAAUAUCCAGGAUGAAUGUGGCCGGAAGGGAUAAAGAGAACUGGAUAAAUAUUAGCUGGCUUGAGCUGAAUCCAGGAAAGAUGAAGGUGACGAGGGGGAUCGGAAGAAGCAUUUUGAGGAUCCCGGAGGAACUAUGAUUUUGCCAACGGUACAGGGUGCUUGCCCUCCAGUUAAGUGAGGCACAACCUCAGAGUCCCUCUGGACUCAACAUUGUUCAGAGACAUCCAGAACGAAAUAGGGGCUAAAUAUGUUUUAUCCAUCUUCAGUUGGCCAAGAGGCUGUGCCUUUUGCUCUCAGAUGUGAAUUUUGCCACAAAGAUCCUGUCUUUUGUUGUUAUCCAAAGACUGAAAAGUGCAAUAUAAAAUCAAAUGUUGUUCUAUGAAAUUCACGGUGGGCCAAGGUAGUCAUUGGCAUAUAUAAGUGCAGCUCCAUUGCUGCAUGCACCAGUGGUAAAUUGGAUCCUGCCCGGCAGGUGAAAUUGUUUCGAAUACAUGUGUUGACAGUCCCUAUGUUUGUUUAUCUGAUGACAGGGUGUUCUGUGUGGAGGGAACUCAACUCUGAAAUUUGCUUCCUCAGGUUGGUGUGACAGAGCAGUUGUGUUAUUUCUUUACUCAGGCUCUUCCUGAGAGUGGGUUGAGUGAGGAGGCUUGAUUUGGGCGGGAGGGAAGAGUUCUUUUAGAUUAUCCUUGAUGUGUUGUCAGUUUAGAUGUAUGUUUUUGGUGUUCACAUUUUUAUUGUCAAUGACAGCAACAUGGGAACUAUAUACAUCAACAAAAACCUAUACUGGAACCAACUGCCCUGUCCUAUCUGUAACCCUGAUGUCUUAACAGAGUAAAUGAUAAAGUGGGAAAAAACAGCCUCCUUCUUAGCAUCUACCUUAAACUGGUGCUUUUCAUUCACUUUUCUCUCUGUGAAAGGAUCUUCUGAUUUACUGAUUACACGACUGGGGAUUACUUUAAGUAUACUCACCAUUGCUUUCUUGUCAAAAGAACAACUGAUGGUCUAAACCAAAUCAUUUUCCUGCCUUUCAACUUUCUCCCUUAAGGAGAUAAUCUCUUUUCCUUCGCACCUGUUUUCAGUCAUAAGCAUUAACAGCCAAUGUUUCAAAAAUAAAAUGGUCAUUGAUGGCCUGUUUUCGGGAGCCCCACUUGAACUGCCUGGACCAGUUCCUCAAAGAUAUUAGACCCCUAACUCCCAUUGAAAUCAGUGGGAGUUAGGCAACUAAAUACCUUUGAGGAGCUGGCCCCCCUGGGCCGCAUUUUCAAAAAGCACUGAGCAUCCACAGCUUCUGAAAAUCAGGUUCCAGAUGUUUUGUGUUAGGCACAUUCAUCACUGGCCAUUCUAAAGAAAAAAAUGGGGGUCUGAAUCUAUUGUCUAGCUCUGAAAUCAGUUUCUCUUCCAAACCAGCAUCAAUUUCUCCUUUUUCAAGUUGUGUAGAAGGUUUAUUGGGAUACCUUCUGAUUUCACAUAGGGAAGACUGCAUCACAGAAGCACUAGCCACCUCUCUGACCCUCUUUAUAAUUAGGGCCCUACCAAAUUCACGGUCCAUUUUGGUCAAU